rfam:Pan troglodytes isolate Yerkes chimp pedigree #C0471 (Clint) chromosome 4, whole genome shotgun sequence.
UAUUAGGUUGGUACAAAAGCAAUUGCAGUUUUUGCUAUUAAAAGUAAUACCAAAAACUGCAAUUGCUUUUGCACCAGCCUAAUA